GAUUUUUUUUUUUGGAGACCAAAGAGGACCCUAAAUGUUUUGGGAAUUUUUGGUUCAAUAGUUCAAAAUUUUCAUUGCUUUUGUGGUUUGUUUGAGUUGAAGGAGGUGGUGGUCGUUUCCGUCAAACUUGACGUCUGGUUCGCUGCCCAGAACCAGGUAAUCUUCUCUUUAUUUCAAUGUUUCGUGCACUCUCAAUUAUGUUUUGCUCGUUGGAAUCAUGUUUGGUAUUAGCUGCUUUAGCAUAGAAAAAUAAAUUGUUAUUUUCCUCAUUAUCUUAAGUGUUCUUUUGUUGUUGUUGUUUAUUCCGAGCAAAAAUUAAUUUUGGCUUAGUUAUUUUUUUUUUGUUUUCUUAUGAAGUAUGAUCUUGUUCAAGUUACUUAUUUGAACCCGCCUGUUUUACAUUUCCUUCAUGGUUAUUUCCAUAUACUUGAGAAAAUGUGUAGAUGAUUCCUUCGCUUAGCCGAGUUCGUAAAUCUAUGUGAAAUAUGUGCUUCUAGUUACCUUAAUUCUUAUUCAACUUUGAAAUCCAUGUUAUAUAGUUGUUGAUCGAUAUAGUUACGGAAGGUUUCCUUCCUUCCAUUUACCCUCUUUUGAAUGCAUAUAAUUAGAAAUAUAAGUUGUAUACUCUUUAACAUUGGGUUGUUUGGUAUAAAAAAUGCUAUAUUGAGCUUGUUGGAGUCUUUGGAUUUUUUAAAAAAAUUGCUUCUUUCAAAUAUAUAUUUAUCCUCCUAGUUUAAGAUAUAAGAUGCAUAUGCUUGACACGAAAAUUGCAUUUUAGAUUGGAUUAAUAGCUUAGGUUUUCUGGGAAAGACAUAUUUUCAAGUCUCAAUUAGAUUAAUUGUUGUGGUCUGGUUACUGCCUCUCUUAAAUACUUUCCAUUUCUUUGAAAUGUUGGAAUUUGUUAAGCUUUCCCAGCAACUCAUGUUGUGUGAACUCAUGUUUCAAAUUACGUUUCCUCUCACUUUCUAUGUGUUAAAUAUAUUAAGAUAGCUAUAUAUAUGUAUGUUUAGUAUUCUUGCCCUUCUUAGAUGGUUACCUUAACCUUUUUUCUUUAGGUACUCUCAAGUGUUAUGGUAAAAAUUCAAUUGUCCUUUUCCUUAUCUAAUAUUCUGAUAUUCUUAUCACUUAAGUAUGUGUUUGGAAUUUAUGAUUGUGUUGUUUCUUGGUUUGAAUGUGGAAGAAUUGUAUUAGGUUUGGAAAUUAAUUGUCUUUGUUUGUUUCUGUUGGUUUCUUCCAUUGUUUGACAUAUCUAACUUGCAUUACUAUGUAUUGUUUGAGUUUGUUUACGUGUUAAACUAAUGUUACCCCCUUGUUAAUGUGCUAAUCUUUUAUUCCUUUAUUUCUUGGUGCAUGAACACUCUCUCGUUGAGUCCAAUUUGGACUCCCAUCUCUUGCAUUUUCCUCUCUUCGAGUCCUCCUUCAAGUCGUGAAAGAGAAGUUAUUUUUAUUGGGUGAAAAAUCCAAGAAAUGAGGCAGAUUGCAGCAGUCCUAAAGGGCUGAAAUUUGAGUAUUUUGGACUUAAAAGCUUGGUAAAAUGACCAGCAGCAGUAGAGACCUCAAAAAGGCCGAAAAAGGAGAAACAAAAUUGGGUUAAAACCCCCUAAGGGAUCAAGCCGCAACACAACAAUUUCAGCCCCGAAAUGAUCGAAUGUGGGCUGGAAUUUCCAGUUUUUGACUCACUGUUCAUGUUACUUCCUCUUAUUAUUUUAUUUGUGAUGGCUAACAUUUUCUUAAUCUAGAUGAAAUUCCCAUGGAUCUCUUUCAGUUUAUUUUUAUCAAAGUUUUCUUUAUUAUAA